rnacentral:tRNA from 3 species
GCCCCCGUAGCUCAGUGGAUAGAGCAGCGGUUUCCUAAACCGUUGGUCGGACGUUCGAGUCGUCUCGGGGGCG